AGCAGCCGCGGUAAUUCCAGCUCCAAUAGCGUGUAUUAAAGUUGUUGCAGUUAAAAAGCUCGUAGUUGAAUUUCGGGAUCAAUACGUCGGUCGUGCUUCGGUACGUACUGGCAUUGUUGGUUUCUACCUUCUGACGAACCAUGAUGUCAUUUAUUUGGUGUCGUGGGGAAUCAGGACUGUUACUUUGAAAAAAUUAGAGUGUUUAAAGCAGGCUCACGCUUGAACACAUUAGCAUGGAAUAAUGAAAUGGGACGUUUGAUUCUAUUUUGUUGGUUUCUAGGAUCGACGUAAUGAUUAAUAGGGAUAGUUGGGGGCAUUAGUAUUCAAUUGUCAGAGGUGAAAUUCUUGGAUUUAUUGAAGACUAACUACUGCGAAAGCAUUUGCCAAGGAUGUUUUCAUUAAUCAAGAACGAAAGUUAGGGAUCGAAGACGAUCAGAUACCGUCGUAGUC
rnacentral:rRNA from 1 species